ensembl:lncRNA ASAH1-AS1 ASAH1 antisense RNA 1
GCAAAGCUGCCAAAUCCCAGAAUUGAGGCCUCGGUGAAAAGCGCGCUGAGACUUGGGUAGGAGGCCCGGUGGGACCCGCGAGCUUUCUCUCCCAGCCCGAUGCAGCAGUUCAUUAAGCGGCUGUGUUUCCUCCUAACUGGCGAAGGACUCAGGUGGGCGGAGCAGAGCUCAGCUUGGGAGGAGGCGGACGCGAGUAGCUCGGCAGGGGGACUCGCUUGGCUUUCGUGCCAUCCGUGGACACAGUCGCGCGGGAGGAGAAGAUGACAGUGUUCUCCCUAAGGAUGAAGUUUGACUUUUGAAACAUAUCACAUGCUUAAAGCACAUUUGAGCUCCUGCAUGAACAGUAAGCUAGCAGAUGGUAGAAAUAUUCUUUAUUAAUUCAAAAAAUAUUUACUGCGGACCUACAAUGUGCCAAGCAUGUCUCCUGACACUGGGGAUAAGCAGUGAACAACAACAAAAAGACAAACUUCUUCCACCCUGAGGCGUAUGUUCUCGGUCUUUGUGGGAAGAAACAAAUCACAAAAGCAAUUAAGAGAGCUCAAACAAUGGGUUACUCUCAUCUGGAUUAUUGUAGUCACCUUGUCACUGGUAUCUCUGCUUUCUCCUAACCCCCAUCUAAUCUCCAAAAAAUCAGAGCAUGUC